UGGGCCCCAGGAGCAGCAUAAGCCCCAAGUUUGCCCAGCUGGGCAGAGGGAUCCUCCUCCUGGCAUCACUGGAAAGACAAUUUCCUACCUCCUUUAUCAUCUUCCACACCGGCACGACUGAAAGCUGAGCCGCUCCCCGCAAGACCUCUUCCCUUUCUCCCCCUCUCCCGCUGCAGUUUGGGUCCCUGAUGUCAGGAUGCGUUUUGAAUGCGGGAGAGGCUUUGCUCUUCGUGCCCAUCCAGGAAGUUUUCAAGGGCCAGCCAGAGGCAAUAUGGUUCUAAUCUAAGACGGCGACAAAAAUGCAGGGAGUUCGCAGAGGAGCGACGUUGCCGCUGGUUCGUGGCAAAAUAAAACGCAGUGCAAAGCAGCCGCGGUGCACGGGGGUAGCUUCUCCUGACUCUUCUUGUGAAGAGCCUAACUGCCAAAAGCAGGAGCAAAAGAGAAAGAAGUGGCAAAGCUCAUCCCUCUGCCGUGGGGCUGCACAAGCCUCCACCAAGCUGGAGCUCGGGAGAGCCCGCGGGGCGCUGAGAGAAGCGCAGAUUCCUCUUGGGGUGCUUGGAAAGUGAAAGAACUUUCCUGGAGGGGACAAGGCAGGAGAUGAUUCAGACUCUUCCGAAGCAGCCCCGCUGGCGUGGGUGUGCGCCUUCCCCUCCCGAAGCAGCGCUGCUGGCGUGGGUGUGCGCCUUCACCUCCCGUUAGUUCGUUCACACGCCAUCGUUUUGGCAGCUAAAAUCCUUGGUCUGCUUAGACUUUGGAGGUUUAUGUUAACAGUUUGGAAGAGUGUGGAAGGCUGAGAGAAAUAUGCUGGGGGAGAGGGGGGAGUUAGGGUUUGUUGUACUAAGCAGCGACAAAAUAUUUGUCUAAUCUGACGAGCCAGGAUGCAGGCAGCAGAGAGAGAAACUUGGUGCUCCAUCCUCAAGGAUGCUGUCAUGUGAGAACAGGACAGUCCUGAGUGGAGGCAAGCAGGGAGAGGAGAUGAUGCAGUACCUGCAAGGGAAUGUUCACCAGGCAGCAGAGAAAAGAAACCUGGUGUUCCAUCCCCAAGGAUGCUCUCAUCUGAGAGCAGGACAGUCCUGCAUGGAGGAGUGCUGCAGCAAGGAAGUAGAGAUGUUAAAACUACUGAAGUGCAAAGCAACGGCAGUUCAAUGCCUCGGAUUGAGGACCUUUGCAAAACAAGCCCCAUUUUCAAAGCCAGAGCUUGUAGAGGUCGGUGUUUUGCUGAGAAGCAGCACACAUGGGCACUGCAGAAGAUGUGGUGCUAACUGCUGUGGCAGUAGUGAAAGCCUAGCCCAUAAUUAUGUGAUGUGACCACGAUCUUUUUGCAGGGGUUUUCUGCGUUGAAGGGGUAAGAAGCCUAUACUUGGAGUGGUUAUGUCUUCUACUCACCCUAGCAGAGAAUUAUUUGGGUUCACAGGCAUGAAAAUACUACAACACUUUGUUCAUGGUAAACCAAGGCACAAGCUAAGUCAGGGCAAUUGAUGCAGGGCAAUUGAUGCAAACAAGAGGGACUCGCUACAAAACAAGCAGCUCCCUGCUAAUGCUCCUCAUGCACCAGAGGUGAACCGAGUGGUGCUUAAACCAAAGCUUGACCACUUGUGCAGAGAUGCCUCUAAUGCUUGUCCUCAACGUGCUGCUCAUUUAGUGACUCUCACAAGAUCCUUCCCCAUUAAACUUAGAGUGAAAAUUUUA